GGUGGGAACGGUGCAGAAGUAGAGCGGUCAACCUAUGAUCAGAUUCCCGCCUCGCCCGCUCAUGUGUUGAAGUGAAAGACACUGAAGCUCACAUCGCUCAUGGAUUAAAAGCCAGCUGUUGUUUUUGUCUGAGGAUGACCUCUAGAGGAUGUUUGGUGAACACAAGCAGACAAACCAGAGGAGGAUUCCUGCAGCGUUUCUAACCACUCAACUUCUUACUGGGCUAAACCAUUAGCAAAAAGCUUACCCUCCAAAUUUUGACUCCAUAUUAGCAUUGGCAUAUAUCAGGUAAUAAUCAAUACUAGCUUCUUUAAGCUUCAGAAAUAGCACUAUAAAAGAACUGCUGUUCCAGGAUUAAUAACAAUAAUAAAACAGUUUGAAAUUGAUAUUUUUGAUCAUUUCAUUGUAAUGGCCUUCCACUUUGUUGCAUUCAUUCAAAUAAAAUAAAAUAAAAUCCUGUACAGUUCUACAUGUCUUCCCCCAAAAAGUCAUGCAGUUUCUUUGGAUUGAGAGUUUAAGAUUUCUAUCUGAAUUCCAUCCUCGAGUCUCACACUCAGAAAUUGGAUUUCAUAAACUCAGCAUCAACACUAUCAGUGGUAGUUUUGUGUUUUUUUUUAAUGCUAUAUCAUUGUUUUAAUUAUUUCUUUUUUGAAGCUGCUCUUCUCCCCUGCACACAAAAGGAAAACAUGUAGUUUAUAUUUUAUCUUCAGGGCUUUCUGUGCUGCAUGAAUUCUGUCUUUGUGAGAACAAGAAAAAAAACUUCCCAGAGGUGGUUUAGGCAGAAAUGUUUGAUCCUUCGUACAUGUGAGUCUGGAUAAAAACACUGAGAUGAAGCAUCUCUCAGCUAAGGUAUUUUUGGCCUUGUCUAUGAGCUGCUUCAGAAAAAAGUGAAUAUUGUACCGCAAGAUUUCUUAUUUUGAAAAAACAAGAAGUUAACAGUUAAAUAUGUAUUUUGGCAAUGUACUGUAUAGUAUAAGGUGCAAAGGAUACAAAAAAGAUAAAUCAUUUUAUUUAGUGCAGUUAAAUGGAACAGAGAAAAAUAAAUGCUUCCAUAAAAUGAAGAAUGAUCAGAAUUUCUUUACAGUUUGGAGAAAAAAAAACUUUUUGGGAAGGAAUAUAUAUAUAAAAAUUUGCCAGACAGCAAAAUACUCUAAUGUGGGCCAGCCCUUCUUUCUGAAUCUAGAAAGAAAAUAAAAAAAAACAGCCUAGCUUCUUUACAUACUAUUUUACUUGAAGUUUGACAGUCAUCAGUCAAAAUAUUCAAAUAUUUCUGCAUGAGAUGAGGGGUGGAUUUACCAUUAAACAAAGGUAGGCGAUUGCCUAAGGCCUCCAACUUUUGGGGCCCAAAGAUGAAGGAUUAAAAUAUUUCUAAAUAAUUUAAAAAGAAAAAAGAUGGCAUAAAACCGCUCGUGUGAAAUAGCUUCAUUCUCCUCCGUAACUCUGCAGCAAUGGAAUAUUCUGUCAACAGCAAGUUAACGAGCAGAGAGAGACUCUUCCAAGAGUUUGGAAAAAAGUGUGAAAAAAGAAGAAAAAAAGGAAAUAGAACCAAGAAA